rnacentral:lncRNA from 1 species
CAAAGACUAGCUCAGUUUGGGUUGCUUAAGAACCAGCGCUAAGGUAAAUUAACCUACACCUUUGCACCUGGUGGUGCCUACUUAGUAAUAUAAAUAUGCUAUGUCAUAUAGAAAGAUUAAAGAUUAUAUAUAUGACUUAGCGCAUGUUUGGCUAAGCUUUAAAACUUUUUAUUAGAUAAAUUUAGAAGCUCUACAUAACUAUGAACAGGAUUUGACUCAAUUUAUUUCCCUUUCUUGACGUGAUCAGAGAAAUCCGAUGCAAAGACUAGCUCAGUUUGGGUUGCUCAUGAACUGACAUUAAGGUAUACUAACCUACACCUAUGCACCUUGGUGGUGUUUACAUAGUAAUAUAAAUAUGCUAUGUCAUAUAGAAAGAUUCAAGAUUAUAUAUACAACUUAGAGCAUGUUUGGCUAAGCUUAAAAUGUUACUUAUUAAAUAAGUAAGUUCCAAAAUAAUUAACUUUUAUUAGGUAAAGUUAGAAAUAAGUUCUUAUUUUGACAUUUAAUGCAAAAGUUACUUUCAAACUAAGUAAUUUUUUGCACUUAUAAGAAAAAGUAAUAGACAUACAUGUUUGAAAAUAAAAAUUCAUUUAAAACUAACUUUUACUUUUAAAGCCAAACACGUACUCAAAGUUGUUUCAUAUUGUGUAACUUUCUGUGUAGAAUUGCUUGCUCUGCUCUAAUAUUUGUGAUCUUUAGAUUUUAGAAAAAAGUUGUUAUUAGAUGCACUAUCAUAAAUCUUCUAUAUUCUUAUGUCAGACUAUUUCGUGCUAGUGACUGUUGCAUCAAUAUCUGUUUUUACUUUCUUUUAAAGAUAUCAUUAUCAGCAUAUUUAAAAAUAAGAAUAACAUAAAACUUCAAACUUGUAUUUUUCCUUACGAAUGUCCAUUUUGUAUAUAAAACAUGGACCAAGCAUAUGAGACAAUUGUAUUUAGAUUCUACAGGAAAUGUUCGUGUUGAUCUUAAGUUAUUGAAAGCUCAUAAUAUCCAGUUGAGCAGCUGAUAUUAAUCUGUAAAUAAAAGAAUAAUGCAUCUAUUGAUAAUAAUAUUUGUACUUCUAUUUGCAUUCAAAUGCAUAAACAUACACGUGUUUUUAUAUAGCUUUUGCAGGUGUAUUCACACUUCGAAAUUCCUUCUAGUAAUUUGUACUGAGAAACAACUUAAUGAUCUAAUAUCAACUAUCAAGUAGUGAAAACAGUAACAACAGAUAUCAACGCACUCAGUUCAGGAAUUUUUUGUAUAUUAUUAUGGAUUGUUAACUUAUUGAAACUAACUUGCAAAAGUGUCUGCUUAACUGAAUUAAUCCCAAUCUGAACCAAGUCCCGCAUUCCUAAAUAAUAGCCUAUUGGCUAUAAACCUUGGAGCUAGUCUUACAUUUCUACUAGUCAGUGAUAGCGUGCCUUUAUUUCUCACUUCACCAGAUUAUCAUGCAGGCUUUGAUUUGAAUAAUUAGUUAAAGAUUGUACUUUCCGUUAUUGUUAAUGAUGGAAUACUUUUCAGGCUUCUGCGUAUGUUUCAUAACCUUUACUUCUACUUGACAUAUAUGAGAAUUGGAUCUUUAAAAUGUAGUUGAAACGCAUUUGAUUUGACUGGAUAUUUCGGUUAGAUUUGAGCAGAGCGGUGAAAGACAAGUUGUGAUCUUAAAUUUAUUGGGAAUACAAAUUUUUUGUUCCUGUUAAUAUAUGAGAGUUGGAUUAUCAUCUUCUUGGACAUCAAUUGUGAUUGUCUGUUUGUGAGAAUAGUUCAAAUCACGAGAAACUAAAGAUGACAGUCCUGUUAGCUUAAGUUGCUAAUUGUCUAGAGUGAGAGAUUAAUUAUUCAGCUAAUCAAACCACUAAAAUUGUAAUAUAAAUGGUACCUAAAUAGAGUUGGCUAAAUAUUCAUAUUUUGUGAUCUCUUAUACAUUUUAUUGUUUUCGUAGAUUUAUUUAAGCAACCAAUCUUCCUUUUACCAUGAAGUCUUCAUUAUCAAUUAACACGACCAUUUUACUUCAUUUUAAUAUGAUGAUCUAGCUGUUAAUGUGUCUCCCCUUCCAGUGAAAUGAAAGUGGAGCAAUUUCGUAAUAUGUGUUGCGUCGUUCAAACAGGUUUGUAACGUUAUUUUGCCUGUAUUGUUAGAGCAAAUAAUAUUCAUUUUUUAUUUAACUUAUUUUGGCUUUGUGGGGUCCAGUCUCAGGUAGAAAUAUUGUGAAAACGAAAUUUGGAGAAAUCGAAAUGAAUUAGUUAAGCGUGUAGCAAAAGAAUAUGACUUGGUGGGUAGCUGAGAAUAAAAAAGAAGAAGGGAAAUGAUACAGUCCAUGUACCAACAUAUCCACGUGCGUUGUGUAGCUGCAGCUAACAUUCAAAUUGACCGUUAGGUGACUUUGAAGCCAAUGACAAAAGAGGUCAAUAUUGUUGCACACGCGUUCAGCUUCAUGGUUUACAUGCCCUACAAUUAUUUGGUUUGUAUAGUAUCGAAGAAUAGCCACAUAUCAGAAACCUUUAAAUCUUGAAUACCACAAUGUAAAUUACACAUUAAUAUAAGAAAUUUUUAAAUGGCAGUGGCUGUCAAAAUUUUGUGCCUGCAAUUAUAUUAUCCCCUUUUUCUUUUUGGGCACGGGAUUUUUUCUGUACCCCAAAAAAAAAAAAAAAAAAA